rnacentral:rRNA from 1 species
UGGGGAAUAUUGGACAAUGGGCGAAAGCCUGAUCCAGCGACGCCGCGUGAAGGAAGAAGGUCUUCGGAUUGUAAACUUCAGUGAGCAGGGACGAAAGAAGACGGUACCUGCAAAGCAAGCCACGGCUAACUACGUGCCAGCAGCCGCGGUAAUACGUAGGUGGCGAGCGUUAUCCGGAAUUACUGGGUGUAAAGGGUGAGUAGGCGGGACGACAAGUCAGGUGUGAAAUGCAGAGGCUUAACCUCUGAGCUGCACUUGAAACUGUAGUUCUUGAGAGUCGGAGGGGUAAUCGGAAUUCCCGGUGUAGCGGUGAAAUGCGCAGAGAUCGGGAGGAACACCAGUGGCGAAGGCGGAUUACUGGACGACAACUGACGCUGAGACACGAAAGCGUGGGGAGCAAACAGG